rnacentral:rRNA from 1 species
CAGCACCUCAAGUGGUCAGGAUGAUUAUUGGGCCUAAAGCAUCCGUAGCCGGCGCUGUAAGUUUUCGGUUAAAUCUGUACGCUCAACGUACAGGCUGCCGGGAAUACUGCAGCGCUAGGGAGUGGGAGAGGUAGACGGUACUCGGUAGGAAGGGGUAAAAUCCUUUGAUCUAUUGAUGACCACCUGUGGCGAAGGCGGUCUACCAGAACACGUCCGACGGUGAGGGAUGAAAGCUGGGGGAGCAAACCGGAUUAGAUACCCGAGUAAUCC